GACGAAGGGGGGCUAGCGUUGCUCGGAAUUACUGGGCGUAAAGCGCGUGUAGGCGGCUGUUCAAGUUGGGCGUGAAAGCCUUGGGCUUAACCCAAGAAAUGCGCUCAAUACUGGAUAGCUAGAGGACCGGAGAGGAUAGUGGAAUUCCCAGUGUAGUGGUGAAAUACGUAGAGAUUGGGAAGAACACCAGUGGCGAAGGCGGCUAUCUGGACGGUUUCUGACGCUAAGACGCGAAAGCGUGGGGAGCAAACAGG
rnacentral:rRNA from 1 species